UACGUAGGGGGCAAGCGUUGUCCGGAUUCAUUGGGCGUAAAGAGCGUGUAGGCGGCCAGGUAGGUCGGUUGUGAAAACUGGAGGCUCAACCUUCAGAGGUCGACCGAAACCAUCUGGCUAGAGUCCGGGAGAGGAGAGUGGAAUUCCUGGUGUAGCGGUGAAAUGCGCAGAUAUCAGGAAGAACACCCGUGGCGAAAGCGGCUCGCUGGAACGGUACCGACGCUGAGACGCGAAAGCGUGGGGAGCGAACAGG
rnacentral:rRNA from 1 species